GAUGAACGCUGGCGGCGUGCCUAAUACAUGCAAGUCGAGCGAACAGACGAGGAGCUUGCUCCUCUGACGUUAGCGGCGGACGGGUGAGUAACACGUGGAUAACCUACCUAUAAGACUGGGAUAACUUCGGGAAACCGGAGCUAAUACCGGAUAAUAUAUUGAACCGCAUGGUUCAAUAGUGAAAGACGGUUUUGCUGUCACUUAUAGAUGGAUCCGCGCCGCAUUAGCUAGUUGGUAAGGUAAAGGCUUACCAAGGCGACGAUGCGUAGCCGACCUGAGAGGGGGAUCGGCCACACUGGAACUGAGACACGGUCCAGACUCCUACGGGAGGCAGCAGUAGGGAAUCUUCCGCAAUGGGCGAAAGCCUGACGGAGCAACGCCGCGUGAGUGAUGAAGGUCUUCGGAUCGUAAAACUCUGUUAUUAGGGAAGAACAAAUGUGUAAGUAACUAUGCACGUCUUGACGGUACCUAAUCAGAAAGCCACGGCUAACUACGUG
rnacentral:rRNA from 1 species